rnacentral:rRNA from 1 species
UACGUAGGGUCCGAGCGUUGUCCGGAUUCAUUGGGCGUAAAGAGCUCGUAGGCGGUUCGGUAAGUCGGAUGUGAAAACUCAGGGCUCAACCCGGAGACGCCAUCCGAUACUGCUGUGACUUGAGUCUGGUAGGGGAACACGGAAUACCUGGUGUAGCGGUGAAAUGGGCAGAUAUCUGGUGGAACACCAGUGGCGAAGGCGGCCGACUGGGCCGAUCCUGACGCUGAGACGCGAAAGCCAGGGUAGCGAACCGG